rnacentral:rRNA from 1 species
UUGAACGCUGGCGGCAUGCCUUACACAUGCAAGUCGAACGGCAGCACGGGGGCAACCCUGGUGGCGAGUGGCGAACGGGUGAGUAAUACAUCGGAACGUGUCCUGUAGUGGGGGAUAGCCCGGCGAAAGCCGGAUUAAUACCGCAUACGCUCUACGGAGGAAAGGGGGGGAUCUUCGGACCUCCCGCUACAGGGGCGGCCGAUGGCAGAUUAGCUAGUUGGUGGGGUAAAGGCCUACCAAGGCGACGAUCUGUAGCUG